rnacentral:lncRNA from 1 species
UCAAUGAGUUAGAUAAUUGACAAGAAGUGACAGAAGGAAAAAUGAUACACAAUGAAUUCAUACCUUACCCCAACAAGGAACUAGACAAAGGAUGUCAGCCCAUUUCCUGCUCCUGACUCUGGUUUCCUCUGUAAAAGAGGAGGUUUAGUUGACAUGGUUGAUGUCUGAGAGCUUUGUCAAGAGGAAGGACUGACACUGACAUCUUGGCCAGAAAAGCAAAGAGUGUGAAAGGAAGUAAAUUCAUUUAGUCAAAAGCCUAUUUGAUGUAUGAAUUGCUUUCCUGUGCAACAGGGUGGAGCAAAACAUUCCUGCUGUUCUCUAACAUUGUUCUGAAGGUUCUAAUUCCAUUUCAUCACCAUAAACACGUUGCUGAAGAUGAGGUGAAAACUGAAUCUCCAGUCCAUCACCAGUUAAGAUGCAAUUGUCAGAGGCAUUUUAGAACCAAGAUCUGGAAUCCAAACCUGACAUGAAGUGAUUAUCCUUAAGCUAGAGUGGCAGAUCUCAUAAUCUAAAGAGCUUGUUGAGAUUCAGAUUCUGAUUUUUGUACUUGGAGCAGGUUCCUGAGGCUCUAUAUGUCCACAGCACUUCCAUGGGAUGCUGACACUGCUGACCAAUGAACCAGCCUCUGUGUAUCAAGGAUGGAGAGAUGCAGAAAACAUCUACUGUGCUCCCUCAUAUGGUAUUUUGUGAUCUUGUUGUACACCAGCAUCAAGAAAAUAUCUACUGCCAUGCUUCAAACCUACAUCAAAGAUGGACAAACAUUGGCACAGAUUUAGACAACAUCCUUAAUCCAUGAUCUUGCUUAGUGCUCUUACAGCUUUGUAACAUCUGAUGGUCAUAACAAUUACCAUUAUGCAUAAGUGGUAGGGUUGUUGCAAGGGAAAAUAC